CCUACGGGCGGCAGCAGUGAGGAAUAUUGGUCAAUGGCCGCAGGGCUGAACCAGCCAAGUCGCGUGAGGGAUGACGGUCCUAUGGAUUGUAAACCUCUUUUGUCAGGGAGCAAAGGGCGCCACGUGUGGCGUUUUGCGAGUACCUGACGAACAAGCAUCGGCUAACUCCGUGCCAGCAGCCGCGGUAAUACGGAGGAUGCGAGCGGUAUCCGGAUUGAUUGGGUGGAAAGGGUGCGCAGGCGGAAUGGCAAGUCAGCGGUAAAAUUGCGGGGCUCAACCCCGUCGUGCCGUUGAAACUGGCGUUAGUGAGUGAGCGAGAAGUAUGCGGAAUGCGUGGUGUAGCGGUGAAAUGCAUAGAUAUCACGCAGAACGCCGAUUGCGAAGGGAGCAGACCGGCGCUCAACUGACGCUCAUGCACGAAAGCGUGGGUAUCGAACAGGAUUAGAUACCCCC
rnacentral:rRNA from 1 species